rnacentral:rRNA from 1 species
UGGGGAAUUUUGCACAAUGGGGGGAACCCUGAUGCAGCGACGCCGCGUGAGCGAAGAAGGUUUUCGGAUCGUAAAGCUCUGUCCUAUGGAAAGAUAAUGACGGUACCAUAGGAGGAAGCCCCGGCUAACUACGUGCCAGCAGCCGCGGUAAUACGUAGGGGGCAAGCGUUGUCCGGAAUUAUUGGGCGUAAAGGGUACGUAGGCGGCCUAAGAAGUCAGAUGUUAAAGCGUAGGGCUUAACCCUAUAAAGCAUAUGAAACUGAUAGGCUUGAGUGAAGGAGAGGAAAGUGGAAUUCCUAGUGUAGCGGUGAAAUGCGUAGAUAUUAGGAGGAAUACCAGUGGCGAAGGCGACUUUCUGGACUUUAACUGACGCUGAGGUACGAAAGCGCGGGGAGCAAACA